rnacentral:rRNA from 1 species
UGGGGAAUAUUGCACAAUGGGCGCAAGCCUGAUGCAGCCAUGCCGCGUGUGUGAAGAAGGCCUUCGGGUUGUAAAGCACUUUCAGCGAGGAGGAAGGUGGUGAGCUUAAUACGCUCAUCAAUUGACGUUACUCGCAGAAGAAGCACCGGCUAACUCCGUGCCAGCAGCCGCGGUAAUACGGAGGGUGCAAGCGUUAAUCGGAAUUACUGGGCGUAAAGCGCACGCAGGCGGUUUGUUAAGUCAGAUGUGAAAUCCCCGGGCUCAACCUGGGAACUGCAUUUGAAACUGGCAAGCUAGAGUCUCGUAGAGGGGGUAGAAUUCCAGGUGUAGCGGUGAAAUGCGUAGAGAUCUGGAGGAAUACCGGUGGCGAAGGCGGCCCCCUGGACGAAGACUGACGCUCAGGUGCGAAAGCGUGGGGCAGCAAACAGGAUUAGAUACCCUGGUAGUCCACGCUGUAAAACGAUGUCGAUUUUGGAGGUUGUGCCCUUGAGGCGUGGCUUCCGGAGCUAACGCGUUAAAUCGACCGCCUGGGGAGUACGGCCGCAAGGUUAAAACUUAAAUGAAUUGAC